GGGCAGAGCGUGCCCGGCGCGGGGCGCUCGGCGGGCGGCACCCGGUUGCUGCUGCGGGGCCGUCCCCGGGCAGCAGGGCAGGAGGAGCACGGCGGUGGGGCCGACACGGGGCUGGGAUUUCCGCCCGCGGGAGCGGUGGCUCCGCGCCUCCCGCCCGCCUUCCUCUUUCUUUAUUUUUCCUCCUCCUCUGCCGCCGCGCCGCUUCGAGGGGAGGUUGGUGUCAUGCGGCUGGCGCCGAGGGAGGGCUGCCCGGGGCCGCAGCGGCAGUGAGAGGCGGUGAGAGCAGCCCAGGCGAGCGGAGCCGAGUCCCCUGCGAUGACAGCGAUGAAGGAGCAGCCGGCGCACCCGGGCGGCAGGGGGAACCCGCCGCCGCCUCAGCCCGACCAGGAACUUGGAAGUAACAGCCCUCCGCAGAGGAACUGGAAGGGAAUUGCUAUUGCUCUGCUGGUGAUUCUAGUUGUUUGCUCGCUCAUCACUAUGUCUGUCAUUCUUUUAACACCAGAUGAGCUUGCAAAUUCUUCUGAAACCAGAUUGUCCUUGGAAGAUCUCUUCAGAAAAGAGUUCAUAGUUCAUAAUCCAGAAGCCAAAUGGAUUAAUGAUACAGCAGUGGUGUAUAAAGAUAGGAAUGGACAUGUUAUUGAACUGAAUGUAGAAACAAAUACAACUACAUUAUUAUUGGAAAACACAACUUUUGUAACUUUCAAAGCAUCGAGGUACUCAGUUUCACCAGACUUAAGAUUUGUUCUUCUUGCAUACGACGUAAAACAGGUUUUUCAUUAUUCUUAUACGGCUUCAUACGUGAUUUACAACAUACACACACGGGAAGUUUGGGAGUUAAACCCUCCAGAAGUAGAGGAUUCAGUGUUACAGUAUGCAGCAUGGGGUGUCCAAGGACAGCAACUGAUUUAUAUUUUUGAAAAUAACAUCUACUACCAGCCUGAUGUAAAGAGCAGCUCAUUGCGCCUGACAUCUUCAGGAAAAGAAGGAAUUAUAUUUAAUGGAAUUGCAGACUGGUUAUAUGAAGAGGAACUUCUCCAUUCUCACAUUGCCCACUGGUGGUCUCCAGAUGGUGAAAGACUGGCAUUCCUGACCAUAAAUGACUCCCUGGUGCCCAACAUGGUUAUUCCCCGGUUUACUGGAGGUUUAUAUCCAAAAGGAAAGCAGUAUCCAUACCCUAAGGCAGGUCAAACAAACCCAACGGUAAAGCUGUCUGUAGUUAAUCUGUAUGGACCAGCACAUACACUGGAACUGAUGCCACCUGACAGCUUUAAAUCAAGGGAAUACUACAUCACCAUGGUGAAAUGGGUAAGCAACACCAAGGCUGUGGUCAGAUGGUUAAACAGACACCAGAAUAUCUCCAUCCUUACAGUCUGUGAAACAACAACUGGAGCUUGCAGCAGAAAAUAUGAAAUGCAAUCAGAUCUUUGGGUUCCUAAACAGAAUGAAGAACCCAUUUUCUCCAGGGAUGGCACUAAGUUCUUCAUGGCUGUCCCAGUGAAACAGGGAGGCCGGGGCGAAUUUCACCACAUAGCCAUGUUUAUUGUUCAGGCUAAAAGUGAGCAGAUCAUGGUGAGACACCUGACAUCAGGAAAUUGGGAAGUUAUCAAAAUCCUGGCAUAUGAUGAAAGUACUCAAAACAUUUAUUUCUUAAGCACUGAAGAGUCCCCAAGAGGAAGACAGCUGCAUAGUGUGUCAACAGUGGGAUCAUUGAAUCGACAGUGCCUCUCAUGUAACUUCUUGAAAGACCAGUGCACAUACUUCAGUGCAAAAUUUAGCCCCAUGAACAGGCAUUUUUUACUGCACUGUAAGGGGCCAGGUGUUCCAGUUGUUAGCGUGCACAGUACCACUGACAGUGGAAAGUUUUAUAUUUUGGAAAAUAAUGCUGUGUUGAAAGAGGCUGUUUUUAAGAAAAAGAAUUCCAGGACUGAAAUUAAAAUGCUUCACAUUGAGGAUUACGAACUCCCUUUACAGUUGUCACUGCCGAAAGAUUUCACGGAUCGGAACCAGUAUGCCCUUCUGUUAAUGAUUGAUGAAGCUCCGGGCAGCCAGUUGGUUACAGAUAAAUUUCACAUUGACUGGGACUCAGUGCUUGUCAACUCUGAUAACGUCAUCGUAGCUCGAUUUGAUGGCAGAGGGAGUGGAUUUCAAGGCCUUAAGAUCCUACAGGAAGUCCACCGAUGCUUAGGAUCAGUGGAAGUGAAGGACCAAAUAGCAGCUGUAGAAUCAUUAUUGAAACAGCCCUUCAUUGAUCCUAAGAGACUGAGUAUAUUUGGAAAGGGGUACGGUGGCUACAUUGCAUCAAUGAUUCUGAAAUCUAGUGAGCGGCUUUUCAAAUGUGGAGCUGUGGUGGCACCAAUUACAGACAUGAAGUUAUAUGCAUCAGCUUUUUCAGAAAGAUACCUUGGUAUUCCAUCAAAAGAGGAAAAUACCUAUCAGGCAUCCAGUGUAUUACACAAUCUUCAUGGUUUAAAAGAAGCAAAUCUGCUAAUAGUUCAUGGGACAGCUGACACUAAAGUCCACUUCCAGCAUUCAGCAGAACUAAUUAAGCAUCUAAUAAAAGCGGGAGUUAAUUACACUAUGCAGGGCUACUCAUCAUGUCCCUUGCAUGUGGAUUUAGAUUCUACAACAUCUCAAAGAAAUGAAAUGUUUUUCAUUCAAGGCAAAGGAAGAUCCUGACAAGUGAAAUUGUAUCUGUUCAGAGGGUGAGCCUCCCCAUACAUCCCUUUAUUUCCCAAGGUGAGUUUCAGCAGUAGAAAAUGGAUCUAUGAAAUAAACAAGGCAGCCAGUUUGGAUUUGCAGAACAUUACUUCCAAUCACUGAAAUCAAGUGCAGUGUUGUCUUAAUUUGUGGUAUCUUUGGGAAGGUAUGUACAAACUCCUGACAGAUGCUGUGCAGUGUACAUGAGAAUAGCUAUAAUUUCUUUUCUUUCUGGAUAUGCUCCAGAUACUUUUCUACCCAAUUAAGGUUUCAUUGUUUUGUGAAAUUAGAAAGCAAGUAACUUCUGGAAGGUAACUUAUAGAAUUUAAGUUGCAAAGUUCUGCAUAUUUUAUGAAAAAAUAGAACUUAUUUUUUAACAUAAUCAAAAAUCACCUGAAGCUUUCUACUUGUUUCUUUUCCUUCUGGAGUAUUUUCUUCAGCUUAGCAUUUUUUAUAACGCAAAUAAUUUGACUGAAAGGUAUGGUUUUAUGGUGCCCUGAAAAGUCUCUGUCUUUUAAUGCUUAAUAUUUCUCUUGUUUUAUUAGUAACGUUUAACUGUUUUUAAUAUGCAAAGACAACUUGUCUGGAUCAUGGCAUCACCACAUAGCGUGGCUUUGCUUUGUACACAGUACAUAUGUCGAGUAUUAUGAUAAGGCCAUAAAAAAAGAAAAAGAAAAGUUUUUUAAGAUGAAGUUUUGCAAGUCUUCUUUUUUUACUAGGGGAACAGCUUUUUAACAUCUUGUAUUGACUGAGACUUCUAGAUUGUGAUUUUCUAAGUUAUACACCAUACGUAAUAAAUUUACUUGACAGCACCGAUGACUUUCGUAACCAAGCACUGUAGAGGAGAUCCUAAUCCAGUGGAACACCAUGGGACAUUUUUUCCGAUUUCAGCUAAACGUACACAAAGGAGCACGAUCUGCAUGCACACGUUGAGUGUGCUGCAUGCCCAGAGUGUGAGAAGGUUGAUACCAACACUCAUUGGCUGCUGCCCUGAGAGACACCCAGCGUGUGUUCAGAUUUGCUGCAUUUCACGCCAGUCACCUUUAGUUGUCCGCAAAAGCAAACAAACAAGGCUUGUAUCUCAGCGGUAGAGUUAUGUAUGUGCUCAGGAACCAUUUUGUCUUGGAUCUGUGCCUUUGGCAGUAUGUCCUUUAUCUCUGAGCACACAUUUUAUCUUAUCUUCAUUUUUUCCCCCCCACACCUUUCUGUUUCAGGGCACCAUUCCCUAUUCUUUCUGUACCAACAUCUCAUCUCCCAUUUUAAUCAAUUUACUUUAUUAUGAAGGUGGCAUGAAGAAUUCUGUAGGAAUGCUUUUGCCAGGAUUACUGGUAUGCUUAAACAGUGUGUAUUAUCUGAAAUGUGGGUUAUUUGUAUGGAAAUGUAGUCUGCUUUUUUAUUUGUUGUCCUGCAAAUAUGGAUAUUUUUAUAUGAAGAUACAUAUACAAAGGCAGGCAUCAGAACUAUAUUGUUUGUUAUGAGAUGUUUUAGUGUGAGUUAAACUCAGAUACUGCAAAAAGAUUUGUACAUGCAGCCUCUGAUUCGAGUUAGAGAAUUUGGUGCAAGAGGAUGUGCAGAGCUAUUACAACUCUUGCUAACUAGUUCAAGUAUUUCAUUCACUUCCAAUACAACUAGAUAUGGUUAUCUGUCAGAUUCUACAUACAUAGCAAUUGGCAGUCACUCGUUAGUUAGUUUGUUAUCAAUACUAUUGAUCUGGGCACAUAGCACAGAAGUAUCAUUUAAAGCGUAGAUUUUUCUGUAGCUUUAUGCAUUGUUAAGCACUGCGAUACUGUUUUAGGACUGAAAAGGUACUCUUUGAUUCAGCUGUCCUUACAGUGUGACGUUUACUAGACUAGACCUAGUAAUUUAUGGAAACCUCAAGAAUCAGCAUAUCUCUUUACUACUUGCUAGAGCUUAUCUGACGUUCUUGAUUUUCGUGUUCAUUUUCUGCUGUUAGGACUUGCAAAAUCUAUGAAAACUGUAGGUCAUAUUGAAGCUUCAGUUAUAUUGCAAAAUCAGUUGUACCUGUACAUCAGUUGAAAUAUAUUUUCCAGGUUGUUGAGUAAAAAAAAAAAAAAAAAAAAAAAAAAAAAAAAAAAAAAAAAAAAAAAAAAAAGGCUGGUUACUUUUAAAUUCAGUAUUUUGAUCUUUAAGCAAAGGUAUUUAUGAAUUAGUUUGAUGAAUGUUUACAACCAUUUCCUGUAACCAACUGCUUGCUAUUCCUGUGCUUCUGGCAUAUGUAGAUCCACCCAUGCCUGAAAACGAAGGUGAUGAAGGUGAUAAGCUCUCUUCUCUCAGUUCUCGCACUUAUUUCAAGUUUGGAGUUGGGUUUAUUUAGUUGAGAAAUUGUGCUUUUCAAGACAGAAGAGCACUUGUAUUUGAUCUGAAGCCAAAGAUUCUCCAUGGAAACUCUAGAGUUUUGAGUGUUGGCUCCUAUAAUAAAAUGCAGGGGAUGCGAGGUGUGACCGGGUAUUCCUCCUUAUAGUUCUAUUAGAUGUUACUGAAGAAACUGGAGCAAAGAGAAGACAGGCCCAGAGAGACUGAACACAAGUUCCUUUUGAACAGCCCGAAAACACAUAGGUAAGAUGCAGUGCUCUGAGCAUUUUUUGUUUACCUCAGGUAAGUUCUGUUGCCUCUGGGGAAGGAAAAACCUCACCGGUAUUGAUUACUGGUGCAUCUGCAAAGCAUCCUUCAGCGCUAUUAAGAUCACUCUUCUUUUCCCUUUGAAUGAUUUCAAGAGUGCUUCUGAUUGGGAGCUCAUGGAACGUAGCAGCUUCCAAGGUAUCUGGAUCUUUGAAAAGAAAAGAAAGAGGUGGAAAGGAGGUAGGAUUGUAGAUGGUGGUGAUUCACUCACCAGGGUGUAACACAGAUGCUUCCUACAUACCUGCUUGCAAAAUUCUGCAGUGGUAAGUAAAAUAAACGUCUGUUUUCUAAAAGGAAAUUGACAUCAGAAAAUUGCGGUGCUGUUAGAUUGAGUUGCUAGGUUCUUUGGAUAGAAUUAAGGAAAUUUAAACCACAUGAGUGUAUGAGAUCCAAAUUUUCCAUUAAAGUUGUAACUCGACUUCUUGCCUGUGUAAUUAGUUUAGAAAUCCAAUAUCCUACCUUUUCAUAAAUCUAACUCAACUACAACAAAAUUGAUUUUGUAAUGACUAUACCCCACGAGGACAUGAAUAAUACAUUCAUACAAUCCUUCUUGAUUAAAAUAUCCCAUGAAGUGCUAACAACCUGAUUUUAGAUUUCAUGACUGCAGAAAACCAAAAAAUGGAAGGAAAAAGAAAAGUUUCCCAUCAAUAAAACCUGCAAAGGGAUUGUGACUGUUAGGAAAAUGCUCAGGAAGUAUUUCCCUGAGGAAAGUAGUUAGAAAAAUGUGUUUUGAAAAAAUGUAUUUUGUGUAUUAAGUUCCAAGUACAGCCGUCGAGUUAGAUGCAGACCUCUGGCUGUUGUCCAGAGGACUUAGGAAGAUGGGAAGUAUGGAUAGUCCUGUCCUAUACCCAGUGCUGAGCCUUUCUCCAAGGGACCUGUUUCUUUUCCUGGCACAUACAAAGAAAGAAGAGGUACAUGAUUUCUUAUGGACUUUUAGUUUUGCAUUUAAUUGUUACUUGUAUCCUAUAUUUCUGAUAGUCAUAACACAGGAAUUGUUAAAUAUAAUUCCACGCUUCAGAUAGGCAGUUGCUGUGAAAUAUUUUGCUCUGAAAGACAUUGCAAAUUGUCAUGUUUGAAGCUAUUUACAUUGCAAGCUAACUGUUCUUCCUUUUUAGUUAUACUAAGCACUACAUUAGGCUAAUGGAUUGAUAUAUUUUUUUUAAUAUUGCAAUGGAAAUUGUACAGAGGAGCUUACCUGCUUCUGUAAGAGUUGCCUGUAAACGUGCAGUGACAGUGAAUGCUAGCAAUAUAUUUGAAGGGGUUUUGUAGAUCAUUAUAUGAGAAAUCCACAUUAUCCCAGGGAAGCAGAGGACCACGACUGAAACAAGAUGAUUUGACGGUGUAAUCAGAAUUAAGCAAGACAAAAGAAAAAACAGUGUGGAACAUUGACUUAAGCAGAACUUUCAGGCUUAAAAGGAGCAUGUGUCAGAGUGUAUCAAAUAUUGUCGCUUCAUUUUAUCCUUCGGUUUUGGGUUCAGUAACUUAUUUCUGAGCUGGAAGCAAGGUAGAGGUUGGGUGUUUUUAUUUAUUUAUUUAUUUAUUUAUUUAUUUUGUAGCAAGGAUCGCUGUUCAGAAAUCCUGUGUGGCAAUCACUGUGUUUUCUUGGCCACAAAAAAGCACUGAAGCCCAGAGCGCAAACUAAGAGCUCAACAAUAACAAAGUAGGAGAGCAUGAAAUUCGGCUAAUUAGAAUGAGCUGCACAUUACUUCACAGAGACAUUGUCACGGUAGGGAAACAGAGCAGGGUGCUAUUUAUCUUGAGUGGAAUAAGUAAACUGUGGCUCAAAGGCAGCAUUAGGAGGAGACUCUUCCCUGUCUUAAUAAUGUAUAAUGUGAAUAGCAUGAGAAUGUUUAAUUUCUUUGCUAUGUCAAUGAGUAUUUGUUAAUUAUAGCACAAACUAAAAUUGUGGGGCUGUGCAAAAUGCAUCCAAUGCUGUGCAACUGCACAACACAGCAUCUGACAAGAAGACAGCAUCAGUCCUCUGUGAGUGGUCAGUUUCCUUUCACAUGGCAUAGAGCAGGAAAAGGGAAAGAACACCCAGCCUGGGGAGCAGGACCCCAAGGACCUCUUUAGGAAAGUGAGGAGAGGAAAGGAGCUACAUGUUUGAAGGAGAGCCUGUCUCUGCUUCCCCUCUGUAGGGAACAGGGAACUCUAAAGGGAAGGGUUUUGGAUGGUACCUGAGGCUGAAGCUGGCUCCCAGGUGUUCUCUCACAGCUCCUUGGGGCUGUUGUUAGUGUGGGUGCUGGAAAAGGCUGAAGUGAGUCCAGGGAUGCAUUUGGUUGGCUUUGUGAUGAUUGAAUGUGCGAGUCUUCCACUCACAGUGGUGGGAAGGAAGCUACAUGUGGUUGGCCUGGGUUAGUGCUAUGGUGGUAAUGGGUUGAUGAGUUGACUGGGUGAUCUUAGUGGUCUUUCCAACUGCAGUGAUUCUACGAUUCUUUGCCUUGCAUUGGGAACCAGACAGAGGCUGAGCACUCUGAGAGGACAUAUGUAAGCAUUCAUCAGGUAUGUUUUUUUAUUAUUUUUAUUUUUCAUUCUUAGUGGAAUCUGAAGUUUUGAAAUUUUCUGUGUUUUAUCCGAGCCUCUAAGAUACCUCAUGACUUUAUGUACAUCUUAAUAGUUUUGCAUUUCAACUGGAUUGGUGCGUGUGUGAAAGCAAGCAGUAGCAAUUUAAAAUGUAACAGAUAAGGAUGUGUGAUUGCAACUGCAUCCCAAAGUUCACUAAGAAAUCUCGAUAAAGUAGAAGAAUAACAUUUCUGUUAAGGGUUGUUUUCCUGUCACAUUCAGUCUCCUUCUUUAGGCACAGACACUUGAGUGGUGCCAGCAGAUUUGUCACUAUAAGUAAUGCCUUCCUGCCUGUAUAGCACUUAUCUUCCCUGCCACAGCUCAUUGCGUUUUUUCUUAAUUGAAUUUGUAAACCUUCUGGGAUGGUUUCACACAAACACCAGGUGUUGCCAUGCUUCACUUUGAAUGGGGCCGUGCGUAUUACUGAGGUGCAUUCUAAUAGCAAACAUAAAUAUGAUGUAGCCCUGUAGGGUAAUGGUGUCUUGUGUGUUUGUGCAAAGGGUGGCAAACUCUUCCAUAUGUUCCAGUAUUCCAUGACUCUCGUUGAUUUUUAGUGCCUUCAGGGAGCGCAAAUUGUGAGUUUACUUUGGGAGGUUUGUAGAAUUGCAUAUCCCUCAUGAGCUCGGCAGUUAUCUUGCAAUUUGGUUGUAUGUGACUUGCGUGAUGUCCUCCUCACUGCAGUGACACAAGUAGUCCUUGGAUCCUACUGGCAGGGACUCAUCUUUGUCAACAACUUGAUACUGGAAAGGCUUGAGUCUUCCUGGGGUCCUGAAGCAACAGGUUCAGAGUACCUGCCGUAUCUAGCCUCACAGCCCUUGAAGGAUGGAAAGUAAAAGCAAUCUCAACCUCUUCUGGGCUAACUUCAUCAACUGACAAGUUUCAGCAUAUACCAGUCUUUGUUCUUCUGUAACUGCCAUGGUAUGAGUACAGCACCUGGGAAGAGAUAGGGCUGCUGGCACCUACCUCGCGUGACAUCAGGAGAUGAGACUUCACUGAAGAGGAUAUCUGCUGUCUGCGAUGUACUGGGCAUGUGGCUGCUGUUGCGCUUCAAACCUCCAAUUUUAAAUAAACACGAAGUCUCCAGUGUUCAAUUAAGCUAUUCAGAUACCAAUCAAGAAACAAUCCAAGAGCACUUAAAGAUCUCCAUGUAUAACACUGACUGCUUACUGGUGCUGAUAAUGCCAUGUGGAACCAGAGCUAUUUGGCAUGGCUGAAAAUCAAAUCCACAUUAUUGAUUACCCUCAGACUCUUUAGCAGACCUGCACCCUCAUGGCCUCUUCGCAUAAGUUUUUUUUUUUUUUUGACAUUUAACAGGCACGAGAGUUGAAGAAAGACAGACAGGAAACAGCAAAAUAAAACUGUGAAAUGCAUCUAGUCUCACAUGUUAAAAAAUAAAUAUUUUGUAAUGAAAAGUUAUACCAUAUAUUUUCCCAGAUUCAAAGCAUUAUAUCAGAUCAAAAUGAGAGUGAACCCUCUGCUAUUCUCUGUAAACCUGGAUGGAAGGUUUCCCUACCUUGUCAGUUUUGGUGCACCACUUCUUUCCAGGCAUGACCCUGCCAGCACCCCAUAUCCAUCAGAUAUAAGCCUCAUUUCCGGACUUCUUUUUACACUUUCUUCCUACCUGGAGAGGAUGCUUUUCCCAGCGUUGCCUUGCAAUGAGAAAGUCACUCAACUGCUGUGGAGUAUCUUCUUGAAAUCUCCAGCAUCACAGCUCAGCCCAGCAGGAGCAAAUAUCUGUCAGGUUCCUCUUUGAAACUCUCCUACGCUGAGAAGCCAGAGAAGAAGCCUUUAGCUGGGAAAGCUGACUAAUAGUACAGCUUUUGCCUUUUUUGCACUGCAACUUUUUAAUCUGCUCUGUACGGUACCAUGCAGCCCCUGGUCCUGGCCAUGCCUAAGGCCUCCAAACAAUUCAAUAAUACAAAUACCAAGAAUACACAUAAUGAAUGUAACCCAGCCAAAAAUAAACGCACAGAAGUGGGCAGGUGGAAGGAAGGAAAGAGCUUGUGAGAUUUUCACAUCUCUGGAAAUCAUUCAAAAAUGUCUUGCUUUAAAGAUUUGCUCUGCAUGAUAUGCUAUGCAUUAGAGUAGCAACUAAUCCAGUAUGGAAGGGUUUCAUGACAAAUUCAAAUUGAACCAUUAAAUAUUUUUCUAUUAAAAAUUAUUACUGUAAAUACCUCGCAGUGGGCAAACUCUUUGAUUUCUUAAUGUUCUUACAAGUGCACUCUUAGAAAAGUCCUACCUUGGUACUAAGUAUUGAUUUCAAAGCUCCAGUUGCAAGAACAUGGAUCCAAAAUGUGCCAAAAGUGCCAUAUUUUCUGGAGAUAAUGGAGAAGGUUCUUCGACUAAAUUAUUCUUUUGCUGCUCUGUCAUUACUUGUGAGAAGCAUUUAGGGCACAGAGAGAGAGCAGUAUUGAUAGCAAUGACACAGAAUGAUAACUUAUGGGUUCUUUAGGCUCCACCACACCACUAAAUCGUGUCUCUCAGAGCAACAUUAAGCUUUUCUUGAACACCUGCAGGGAUGGUGACUCCAUCACCUUCCUGGGCAGCCUGAUCCAAUGCUUCACUAUCAUUUCUGAGAAGAAAUGUUUCCCAGUAUCCAACCUGAACCUCCGCUGACUCAGCUUAAAGCCAUUACUUCUUGUUCUGACUCUAAUUACCUGGGAGAAGAGGCCAAUCCCCGCAGUUGUGUUUGUCCUUGGUCUAUUAGUCUGACUUCGAUCCAUGAGUCUGAAAGAAUAAUUAAAAACAUGAAGGUAAGUGGCAAAUAGAAGAAAAGGCAAAAGAACUGGAUGGAAAGAGGUACAGUCAAAUGAAGGAAAUGCAGUAAUUCAUCUGUAUCUGAACUUCAUGGAGCAUUUGAUGUGAACCUACACGAUGGUUUAAAAUAACAUGCUGGAGAACAUGGGAAUUAGCAAAAAAUAAAAGGAAUAUGAAGAACAGCAAAAGAUGAGGCAUCAAAGGGGAAAUAGCAGAUGAGAGGAAUGGUUGAAACUGAGCUUGCCAAGGACUGUUUUCAUGAUGACCUAGUUAUAAUGUGUAUUAUGUUUUUAUUAAUCUGUAUUUACUCCAUCAGCACAAAAUAAGAGUACAUCUGAGAUUUGCUGAUGACACAAAGGUGGGAGGCACUGUCAGUACUGAUAGCAAUCACUGUGCUAAUCUGACUGUGUAAAAAUUACACAGUCUCGAGGAAUGAGAUUAUAGAUUUGGGGAGUAAAGUAGAAGUUAAGCAGAUGGCGAUCAACAGUACACGCUUCUGCUGCAAAAUGAGACUUUAUCAGUUAGAAAUGACAAAGCAAUAAAGACCUGUGAAUGCUAGCUCGAGGAAGGUCUGCCUUAUUAGUGGAUUAUAGGAUGACACUGAGCCUCAACUUCAUCAGCCAUGAAAAUGUCACUUUUCAGGAGAUAAAGUGGCAGAGAACAUGGGUGAUAAGUCUCAUCAUCUGCAACUCAGGCUGUGUAAAGGUGAGUUUACAAGGGACAUAACAGAGAUAUUAGAAUGAUCAGAGGAAUGAAGAACUCAUCUGAAAAUGGAAGACAGAAGGGCCUCCCUCCACAGGUUUAGCUUAGGAAAGCAGGAAGGUAUCAAAUAAGAUACGAUUAUUGCCUGUAGAAACAGCUGACGUAAACAUUAAAAAAUAAAUAAAAUAAAUGCAAACACUAGUUAACAUUAAAAAAAUAACAUGCGAGUAAUUUCAAAUUAAUACUAUCUUUCUUACUGUCUUUAACCUGGAAAUUAGUAAAACUAAAAACACAUAACUAUCAAAGCAGAAAGACUCUUUCACGGGCAUACUAUUGGAGGAAAAAUUUUAAAAAGCACCACCGUAAAGUAGAAAAGACACCAUUAGAGUUGUUCAUAAAAAGGAUUAUAUCACGUGGUUGUCUGGAUUUAGGGAUUUAAGAAACUUGUGUUUGCCCUGUACAUCUCAAGAAAGUGCUUUGAAAUGGACAUGCUGCAAUCCACCUGCUGAUCAGAUGACUGAAUUUGUCCUAAGACUGAAAAGCCAUGUUUUUUUGUUUUUUUGUUUUUAAAGGAACUUCCCAGAAAAGUGCAAAGAAGAUUGCUGCUAUCUGGAGAAUGCCGAGGGUUAUUAUUUGUUUAAUUAUUUGUGAGUGAAUGAAACAAUGUAAUAAAUUUUGUCUACAAACUA